GAGAUCACCUCCAUUGUAGUGUUUAUUGAGUUAUGGUCCUUGGAAAGGUGUAAGUAAUUCCAUCUUUACCAUUAUUUGCUAUCAAUUUGUGAGCUCUACCUUUCUUGGGUGAUUUGGAGCUUGUUUAAAGCUAUAUCUACUGUUGCCUAUCCUUACAUAAUCACAUGGAUGGUACCUUUCCAGAGAACUGGCAAAAAGACCAGUAAUUUCAUUCUCCACAGAUCAGCUCCUGAAGACCCUAGAAAAAAGGGUUUUUGGUGGAUGGCACAGCCCUCAACCAACCUGCUCAGCUACAGCUGAGAGACAAGAGUCCGCUGGUUUCAACAUCAAGUUGGCUAACUUUUACAGUGAUGUGACUUGCCAAUUGAAAACCAUCAAUGGCUUUGCCUAAAUUAGAAAGUAAACCAGGAAGAUGUUUCCUGUAUGUGUAGCUGGUCAAUGCAUCCAUACAGAAGAUACGUUCCAGAACAAGUGCUUGCCAUCAUUAAGAAGUUGCAUCUUGUCCUUGUUUCCCAAUUGUUUGAUGGUAUUAAUGGAAGCAAAAAGAACAUUCAAGAUACCUUCUUGGUACUUCUCUCUGUUUUCGCUGCGAUGGAGUUUUGGUACAAAGGGCAUAACGUCAUCGACUCUACUUUUGCCCAGACAUUUCAGGACCAGUUGACUGCCAGUUUUCCAGAAGAAAUGAGGAAAUCGUUGUCUAUGAACACAUUUCUCU
rnacentral:lncRNA from 1 species